CUUCACGUUCCCUGAAAUUGAAUUACUUUCUACCACCAUCCCCAAAUAAUACUUGACUGUCCAAGGAAGGGGUUAGAAGGCAUCCAUCCUGUGGAGAGGGAGCACAUACCACCUCCUCUGCAAGACAGCACUGGGGAAACAAUGAGACCUCAGAGGGAAGGUGCCUGGUGGACAUGAAGUAGAGAACCUGUGGAACUGAGGCUUCCAAAAUCAGCUGGCAUUUCCAUUAACAAAAGCAGCAGUCAGCAGUCCUCAAGGAGCUGAGCAAGUUCUGCCAAUGGACAGCUCAUCAUGAAUUGCUCCAGGUAGGUCCUCCAGGAAGUAUUGCAGAAGAAGGCAUUGUUAUCAUAGGAGAUGACAGCUCCAUGGGUGUUACUGCCCCUGAAGACCUUCCAGUGGAAGAAGAUGUGGAGGUGGGAGACGGUGAUAUUGAUGAUCGUCACCCUGUGGAAGUCUAGGCUAA